GACGAACGCUGGCAGCGUGCCUAACACAUGCAAGUCGAGCGGAGAUAAUAGCAAUAUUACCUUAGCGGCGGACGGGUGAGUAACGCGUGGGUAACCUACCUUUUACAGGGGGAUAACACAGGGAAACUUGUGCUAAUACCGCAUAACAUACCGAUAUAGCAUCAUAAUGGUAUCAAAGGAGCAAUCCGGUAGAAGAUGGACCCGCGUCCGAUUAGCUAGUUGGUAGUGUAAAAGACUACCAAGGCGACGAUCGGUAGCCGAACUGAGAGGUUGAGCGGCCACAUUGGGACUGAGACACGGCCCAGACUCCUACGGGAGGCAGCAGUGGGGAAUAUUGCGCAAUGGGGGAAACCCUGACGCAGCAACGCCGCGUGAAGGAUGAAGGUUUUCGGAUUGUAAACUUCUUUAGUCGGGGACGAAUAAUGACGGUACCCGAAGAAUAAGCCACGGCUAACUACGUGCCAGCAGCCGCCGUAA
rnacentral:rRNA from 1 species